AGGAUGAACGCUGGCGGCGUGCUUAACACAUGCAAGUCGAACGAUGAAGGCUGGAGCUUGCUCUGGCUGGAUUAGUGGCGAACGGGUGAGUAACACGUGAGUAACCUGCCCCAGACUCUGGGAUAAGCGCUGGAAACGGCGUCUAAUACCGGAUACGAGCUUCCACCGCAUGGUGAGGAGCUGGAAAGAAUUUUCGGUCUGGGAUGGACUCGCGGCCUAUCAGCUUGUUGGUGAGGUAAUGGCUCACCAAGGCGACGACGGGUAGCCGGCCUGAGAGGGUGACCGGCCACGACUGGGACUGAGACACGGCCCAGACUCCUACGGGAGGCAGCAGUGGGGAAUUUUGGACAAUGGGGAAACCCUGAUCCAGCCAUCCCGCGUGUGCGAUGAAGGCCUCGGUUGUAAAGCACUUUUGGCUAGGAAGAAACGGCGUUGACUAAUAUUCAGCGUCACUGACGUACCUGCAGAAUAAGCACCGGCUAACUACGUGACC
rnacentral:rRNA from 1 species